rnacentral:rRNA from 1 species
AUUUUCCGGUUGAUCCUGCCGGACCCCAUUGUAAAGGGAUAGGACUAAGACAUGCUAGUCGAGUGACUCAGGCAAAAAGAGUCACGGCACACAGCUCAGUAACACGUGGCUAAUCUGCCCUUGGGACUAGAACAACCCCGGGAAACUGGGGCUAAAUCUAGAUAGGUGAAGAACUCUGGAAUGAGUCUUUGCCUAAAUAGGUUCACGUUAUCCUCGUGAACUUGCCCAAGGAUGAGGCCGCGACCGAUCAGGUUGUUGGCGAGGUAAUGGCUCACCAAGCCUUUUACCGGUGCGGGCCGUGGGAGCGGGAGCCCGGAGAUGGGUACUGAGACAAGGACCCAGGCCCUACGGGGCGCAGCAGUCGCGAAACCUUUGCAAUACACGAAAGUGUGACAGGGCUAUCCCGAGUGCCAUCCGCUGAGGAAGGCUUUUACCCAGUCUAGAACGCAGGGGGAAUAAGGAGAGGGCAAGUCUGGUGUCAGCCGCCGCGGUAAUACCAGCUCUCCGAGUGGUGUGGAUGUUUAUUGGGCCUAAAGCAUCCGUAGCUGGCUAGGUAAGCCCCUUGUUAAAUCCACCGAAUUAAUCGUUGGAUCGCGGGGGAUACUGCUUGGCUAGGGGACGAGAGAGGCAGACGGUAUUCUCGGGGUAGGGGUGAAAUCCUAUAAUCCCGGGAAGACCACCAGUGGCGAAGGCUGUCUGCUAGAACGCGCCCGACGGUGAGGGAUGAAAGCUGGGGGAGCGAACCGGAUUAGAUACCCGGGUAGUCCCAGCUGUAAACGAUGCAGACUAGGUGUUUGAACGGCCACGUGCCGUUCUAGUGCCGCAGGGAAGCUGUUAAGUCUGCCGCCUGGGGAGUACGAUCGCAAGAUUGAAACUUAAAGGAAUUGGCGGGGGAGCACCACAAGGGGUGAAGCUUGCGGUUUAAUUGGAUUCAACGCCGGGAAU